rnacentral:rRNA from 1 species
GACGAACGCUGGCGGCGUGCCUAAUACAUGCAAGUCGAGCGAAGUUUUUCUGGUGCUUGCACCGGAAAAACUUAGCGGCGCACGGGUGAGUAACACGUAAAGAACCUGCCUCAUAGACUGGGACAACUAUUGGAAACGAUAGCUAAUACCGGAUAACAGCAUUAACUGCAUGGUUGAUGUUUAAAAGUUGGUUUUGCUAACACUAUGAGAUGGCUUUGCGGUGCAUUAGCUAGUUGGUGGGGUAAAGGCCUACCAAGGCGACGAUGCAUAGCCGACCUGAGAGGGUGAUCGGCCACACUGGGACUGAGACACGGCCCAGACUCCUGCGGGAGGCAGCAGUAGGGAAUCUUCCGCAAUGGGCGAAAGCCUGACGGAGCAACGCCGCGUGAGUGAAGAAGGAUUUCGGUUCGUAAAGCUCUGUUGUUAGGGAAGAAUGAUUGUGUAGUAACUAUACACAGUAGAGACGGUACCUAACCAGAAAGCCACGGCUAACUACGUG